AGGCCCAGACACAUCUAGAGAGGAAAGGUUUAACACCAGGAAGGAAGGCCCAGACACAUCUAGAGAGGAAAGGUUUAACACCAGGAAGGCCCAGACACAUCUAGAGAGGAAAGGUUUAACACCAGGAAGGCCCAGACACAUCUAGAGAGGAAAGGUUUAACACCAGGAAGGCCCAGACACAUCUAGAGAGGAAAGGUUUAACGCCAGGAAGGCCCAGACACAUCUAGAGAGGAAAGGUUUAACGCCAGGAAGGCCCAGACACAUCUAGAGAGGAAAGGUUUAACGCCAGGAAGGCCCAGACACA